rnacentral:rRNA from 1 species
UCCAGCUCCAAUAGCGUAUAUUAAAGUUGUUGCAGUUAAAAAGCUCGUAGUUGAAUUUCGGGGUCAGUAGGUCGGUCGUGCCACUGGUAUGAACUGGUUUUACUGAUUCCUCCCUCUUGAAGAACUGUAAUGCCAUUAAUUUGGUGUUGCAGGGAAUCAGGACUGUUACUUUGAAAAAAUUAGAGUGUUUAAAGCAGGCUUUAGCUUGAAUACAUUAGCAUGGAAUAAUGAAAUAGGACGUUUGAUCCUAUUUUGUUGGUUUCUAGGAUUGACGUAAUGAUUAAUAGGGAUAGUUGGGGGCAUUAGUAUUCAAUUGUCAGAGGUGAAAUUCUUGGAUUUAUUGAAGACUAACUACUGCGAAAGCAUUUGCCAAGGAUGUUUUCAUUAAUCAAGAACGAAAGUUAGGGGAUCGAAGACGAUCAGAUACCGUCGUAGUCUUAACCAUAAACUAUGCCGACUAGGGAUCGGAUGAUGUUAAUUUUUUA